rnacentral:rRNA from 1 species
AGAGUUUGAUCUUGGCUCAGGAUGAACGCUAGCGGCAGGCUUAACACAUGCAAGUCGAGGGGUAGCGGGGUGUAGCAAUACACUGCCGGCGACCGGCGCACGGGUGCGUAACGCGUAUGCAACCUACCCAUAACAGGGGCAUAACACUGAGAAAUUGGUACUAAUUCCCCAUAACAUUCGAAGAGGCAUCUCUUUGGGUUGAAAACUCCGGUGGUUAUGGAUGGGCAUGCGUUGUAUUAGCUAGUUGGUGGGGUAACGG